rnacentral:rRNA from 1 species
UACGGAGGGUCCGAGCGUUAUCCGGAAUCAUUGGGUUUAAAGGGUCCGCAGGCGGUCAAUUAAGUCAGAGGUGAAAUCCCAUAGCUUAACUAUGGAACUGCCUUUGAUACUGUUAUUCUUGAAUCUAGUUGAAGUAGGCGGAAUGAGUCAUGUAGCGGUGAAAUGCAUAGAUAUUACAUAGAAUACCGAUUGCGAAGGCAGUCUACUACGUAUAUACUGACGCUCAUGGACGAAAGCGUGGGGAGCGAACAGG